rnacentral:rRNA from 1 species
GGAGUUAGCCGGUGCUUCUUCUGUGAGUGAUGUCCUUCCUGCCGGCUAUUAACCCGCAGGCCUUCUUCCUCACUGAAAGUGCUUUACAACCCGAAGGCCUUCUUCACACACGCGGCAUGGCUGGAUCAGGGUUGCCCCCAUUGUCCAAUAUUCCCCACUGCUGCCUCCCGUAGGAGUCUGGGCCGUGUCUCAGUCCCAGUGUGGCUGAUCAUCCUCUCAGACCAGCUACGGAUCGUCGCCUUGGUGAGCCGUUACCUCACCAACCAGCUAAUCCGACAUAGGCUCAUCCGAUAGCGCGAGGCCCGAAGGUCCCCCGCUUUCCCCCGUAGGGCGUAUGCGGUAUUAGCCUGGGUUUCCCCAGGUUAUCCCCCACUACCGGGCAGAUUCCUAUGCAUUACUCACCCGUCCGCCGCUCGCCACCAGGGAGCAAGCUCCCCGUGCUGCCGCUCGACUUGCAUGUGUUAGGCCUGCCGCCAGCGUUCAUCUGAGCAGAAUACAACUACUGA